CAGUCGCCGCGGUAAUACGUAGGUCCCGAGCGUUGUCCGGAUUUAUUGGGCGUAAAGCGAGCGCAGGCGGUUAGAUAAGUCUGAAGUUAAAGGCUGUGGCUUAACCAUAGUACGCUAUGGAAACUGUUUAACUUGAGUGCAGAAGGGGAGAGUGGAAUUCCAUGUGUAGCGGUGAAAUGCGUAGAUAUAUGGAGGAACACCGGUGGCGAAAGCGGCUCUCUGGUCUGUAACUGACGCUGAGGCUCGAAAGCGUGGGGAGCAAACAGGAUUAGAGACCCGUGUAGUCCCUGUCUCUUAUACA
rnacentral:rRNA from 1 species